UACGUAGGUGACCAGCGUUGUCCGGAAUUACUGGGCGUAAAGCGUGCGCAGGCGGUUGUGUAAGUCAGAUGUGAAAUCCCCGGGCUUAACCUGGGAACUGCAUUUGUGACUGCACGGCUUGAGUGCGGCAGAGGGGGAUGGAAUUCCGCGUGUAGCAGUGAAAUGCGUAGAUAUGCGGAGGAACACCGAUGGCGAAGGCAAUCCCCUGGGCCUGCACUGACGCUCAUGCACGAAAGCGUGGGGAGCAAACAGG
rnacentral:rRNA from 1 species